CCUGCCCUGGUUCCUAAGGGUCCCUUCCUGGAUUUUCUGACCACAGGAAGCCUUGCUGCCUUGACUCUUCCCCAGCCUUAAUGCUGCCUUACUGUGUGACUUCAGAGACUACCUGGAAAGAAGAGGCGAUCUUCAGCCUGGACUCCUCUGGGGUGACCCUUCCCGGGGCCGCUGUAACAUGAGCCAGACAUUGCAUGAGUGACUGAACGUGACCGCUCAGGUUCUCACCUGCCCUCCAGCCUCCCAUACAGCCACCUUUCCUCCCUUCCAUGAGGCAUGGAGACCUGGGCAAAGCAGAUGUGAAUCCACAUUCUAUCCUGCAGUAGAAGGGGCCCUUGUAGAAGACAUCAAACCUCUCUGUACUGUUUUUGAAACAGGGUAGCAAUGGAACGCAUCUCCCAGACCAUUAGGAAGCUCUGGGCUUGCAGCCAAUAGAGUGGAAGCUAGGGUUACUGUGUCACAUUCAAGACCCAAGCUGGAUUCUCCAGAUUUAACUCAGCAAGUAUUUAUGGAGCAUCUACUAUGUGUUAGGUGCUGCAGCAGGCCUAGGGAUGGAAGAGAACAAAAGUCCCUUGUCCCAGAGUUCCCACUCUAGCUGCCUCCCUUUCCUCAUUCCUAUUCCUCUUGGGUCUACACACGGGCCCCUUGCACCAGGCUCUUGUACUGCUCCUUGCUCUGGUUGAACUGUUGCCUCUUGACAUCAGACCCAGCUCUGCUUUCUCCGGCUCCUCUCAGAGGCCGACCAUGGCCACCCUCUUUGAAGCAGUAGUUUUCCACCAUGGGUGGCAAAACAGCCUCAUGGUCGGAAGCCAGGGUGACCAGGAGGAAGAUGAGCAGUGUGACAGGAUGUUGUUUCUUUGCCUGAGUGUGUUCACUUUAUUCACAUCCGCUGAACUGCACAUUGAUGUGUACUUUCUUGUAUAAAAGUUAUACUUCAAUGGUUUCUGAUAACAA